GCCAGCAUGUAAAGCUUAAAGCUCUAAGAGGCUGUAGACAUGAAUUAAAACCCAGUGAAGAUAUAUCUAGAACUGACGAGGAUAAAAUGUCUUACCUACAGAAAUACCUGCUGCUCAGACGAGGAGGACAGAACUCCAGGGAGUCUACUAGUGUCAGAUAAUCCACCUACCUGACAGGUGUGGCAUAUCAAGAUGUUGAUUACCAAGCAUCAUUACUACUCAGACUGUUGCCCUUUGCUGUACUGGACAUUCCACAUCUGGAGACGUGCAGUAUCUUCUGUGGACCAAACUACUCCUCAUCCUGCAUCCUUGCAAGCGUUACAGGCAGACGUGGUUUCGUCUGUUUUUUCAAGCUUCC